CACGUAGGGCGCAAGCGUUGUCCGGAAUUAUUGGGCGUAAAGAGCUCGUAGGCGGUCCGUCACGUCCGCUGUGAAAACCCAGGGCUCAACCCUGGGCUUGCAGUGGAUACGGGCAGACUAGAGGUAGGUAGGGGAGAAUGGAAUUCCACGUGUAGCGGUGAAAUGCGUAGAGAUGUGGAGGAACACCAGUGGCGAAGGCGACUCUUUGGCCUGUAACUGACGCUGAGGCGCGAAAGCGUGGGGAGCAAACAGG
rnacentral:rRNA from 1 species